rnacentral:rRNA from 1 species
GACGAACCGUGCGAACGUUAUUCGGAAUCACUGGGCUUAAAGCGCGUGUAGGCGGGACGGCACGUCGGUCGCUGAAAGCCCCCGGCUCAACCGGGGAAGGGGCGCCGAUACGACCGACCUGGAGGGACGUAGGGGGACCUGGAACUUCCGGUGGAGCGGUGAAAUGCGUUGAGAUCGGAAGGAACGCCCGUGGCGAAAGCGAGGUCCUGGACGUCUGCUGACGCUGAGACGCGAAAGCCAGGGGAGCGAACAGG